rnacentral:tRNA from 2 species
GCCGGAGUGGCGGAAUAGGUAGACGCAAGGGACUUAAAAUCCCUCGGUGAUUACUCACCGUCCCGGUUCAAUUCCGGGCUCCGGCA